rnacentral:rRNA from 1 species
UACGUAGGGUGCAAGCGUUGUCCGGAAUUAUUGGGCGUAAAGAGCUCGUAGGCGGUUUGUUGCGUCGGCUGUGAAAUCCCGAGGCUCAACCUCGGGUCUGCAGUCGAUACGAGCAAACUAGAGUGUUGCAGGGGAGACUGGAAUUCCUGGUGUAGCGGUGAAAUGCGCAGAUAUCAGGAGGAACACCGAUGGCUAAGGCGGCUCUCUAGUACGGUACUGACGCUGAGACGCGAAAGCGUGGGGAGCGAACAGG